rnacentral:rRNA from 1 species
GAUGAACGCUGGCGGCGUGCCUAAUACAUGCAAGUCGAGCGAACGGACGAGAAGCUUGCUUCUCUGAUGUUAGCGGCGGACGGGUGAGUAACACGUGGAUAACCUACCUAUAAGACUGGGAUAACUUCGGGAAACCGUAGCUAAUACCGGAUAAUAUUUUGAACCGCAUGGUUCAAAAGUGAAAGACGGUCUUGCUGUCACUUAUAGAUGGAUCCGCGCUGCAUUAGCUAGUUGGUAAGGUAACGGCUUACCAAGGCAACGAUGCAUAGCCGACCUGAGAGGGUGAUCGGCCACACUGGAACUGAGACACGGUCCAGACUCCUACGGGAGGCAGCAGUAGGGAAUCUUCCGCAAUGGGCGAAAGCCUGACGGAGCAACGCCGCGUGAGCGAUGAAGGUCUUCGGAUCGUAAAACUCUGUUAUUAGGGAAGAACAUAUGUGUAAGUAACUGUGCACAUCUUGACGGUACCUAAUCAGAAAGCCACGGCUAACUACGUGC